AGCACCGCCCUCUCGCGGGGGCAUGCGGGCCCGCUGCCGCUGAGCCUCUCAGGGCCGGCGUCCUGAAGCGGUGGAGAGAUCCCCAACAUGGUUGGGGAAAGGGAGGUUGUGAAAGACGCCGUCUGCCCACGGAAGGGUGGGACGAUGAGGUUAACAGGAUUCCAUCUGCUGCCAUCAGAAACAAGUACCAAAUCUGUGUUCUCACUAUAUUUGACCACUGAUUUUGCAGUUAGUGUUCAUGGGUUUAAAGUUUAUUGUGAAGUAUCUCCUCUACAAAGAAGACUUGAAUACCUGAUAAGCUCAUCUCCUUCUGGGUUCCCCCCAGGUCUUUCUGCCUGCCAGAUUUGUGUUCUAGUGAGCUGUCUUCCAUAGAAUAAGAGGGUUGACUACCUGUUGGGGGAGCCGAGAUUGUCCAUCUGUGUGAUGACAAAUAUCAACAAAUUGUUUCCUGGAGUGUAGAAUAAAGGCCACUCAACAGAGGCUAAAGCAACGCGGGACAGGGUGCACACACGCCAGAGAGACACAGCAAGAAACAGAACACAAGCAGGGGGAGUGGGAGAGGGAGAAGCAGGCUUCCCGCGGAGCAGGGAGCCCGAUGCGGGGCUCGAUCCCAGGACGCCGGGAUCAUGACCUGAGCUGAAGGCAGACGCUUGACCGACUGAGCCACCCAGAUGUGAAAAUGACCGUAUACCAACUCACAGGACCAAUUUGAGAAUUUCAUUAAUAAGUAAGUGUGGUGAUGCUUUAUAAACGAUACACAGCACUACACAAAAAGAGAGAGAGAGAGAGAGACAGCGUGAGGAGGAACACAAGGAGGGGGAGUGGGAGAAGGAGAAGCAGACUUCCGGCCCAGCAGGGAGCCUGAUGCGGGACUCGAUCCCAGGACCCCAGGAUCAUGACCUGAGCCGAAGGCAGUUGCUUAACCAACUGAGCCACCCAGGUGCCCCAUAAACCCAUGUCAACUUUAAAUAACCAAACCAAGCCAAACCCACAAAACCUUUCUGUCCACAUAGUUGAAAAUCAUUAAUAA